AGUAUGGGAUGAUAGAUGGUCCCACGCAGACCUCAACCCAUCGUUUGGUCUCUUUACUGUCAUUUCUGGCUAUUUCCACGCAAAGCUGCUGCGCAUGGAUAGACCACAAUUGUUCUGUCAACUAUUUUAUCACAUUCAGGCUGCAUCUGGUUACAUUAUUCAUCCUCUGUGUGGAUCUGUGAAAUCCCCAAACACCUCACGUGUCACGAGGCAAAACAACUCAAUGGGUUUAACAGCUAAAAUAGACCAGAGCUUCAGGUGGCUCAUUUUCCUCCAUGAGGGCUCUUUAUUCCUCAUGCUUGAGAGUGCCAAUAUUACAACAAAACAAGUUGGCCUCAAAAGGCCCAGUCAAACACACAACGUUGCAAAUCCACCCAGUGUGGUCACCCACAUUGUCAUCUGAUCUCAAUUUUUGUCUUCCUUGGAAAUCUGCACCUUUGUUAGGGUCCACACAGUCACCUCUGAAGUUCUCUGCUUCCCAGAAAAACCCCACGCAAGCUGUAUUUCAUAACUGGUUCCUUAUCUUUGGAGCACCUGUGAGGGGAAUGGGCAGGAUAAGCCUGAGUUAACCCUUCGGCAGAGUUUCAGGCCUGUGUGUGUGAACAAAAGCAUCAGAAUGAGCGGGGAAGUGGUGAAAGUACAAGACAGAGGAGAUCAGUGACCUGAGAUCACACACCCACAACAAAUCUGCUGCAAAAGUCAUGCUAUCCACAAGGUAAGGAGCGAAUGCUUCUGAUUCUCCUUUAAUUGCAUUCUUGGUAGGGGCUGAGGCAACAUUAACAGCCACUGCAUGCUGCUGCAUGACCCUUCGUUGCAACACAUCUAGGUGGAAGUGCUAAUAGAUUCCUUCUGGUCUUGUUCACUUCAUGACAGCAGCGAGGGAAGGAAGCUGUGUAAAAGUCCCAGCGUCUUCCUGAGCUGCCAGCUCUCCACUGCCUCUGCAGGUUUAUGCCCACUUUGGUUUUAUUCAGGCAGAAAACGCUCAGCCUUCACGACCAGAGCGUAAUGUUAGAAUAUUCCCCUCCAUGAAAUCCUCACGAGAAAGUAAUAUAGGAGCUAAUCUCAGGCGGUAGGGACAUUGUAAGUUUUCACUGAUAUUAGCACUGAGAAGUAUAAGACCAUUUUUAUUACUUAAUCUGCAAGUUAAUUUUUAAAUGGAAUGCAGAUAUAAACAAUGCUGGGUUUAAGCACAUUACAGAGCUGUCAGGCUUUGACAAUUUAAAUGAAUGAGACUUCAAAACGUAUUAUAGAAAAGAUUAAAUGCCUCAUUGAAAUACGCACAAAAUAAAAAUGAAAUCCAUCAGCAAAAUUAAAUUACUUCAAAACUUACUAAAAUUAAGUCUAAAACAAAGGCCUCUCCUGCCAGGUAAGUGAUUUCAUGGUGGGUGAAACUUUAUCUGAAAGCAGCUUUAAUUUCCAACUGACUUCAGAUGACAAAUAAUUUGCUAUUGUUAGAUCUUUUCUAGCCUGAGCACUUUGUAAAACAAGAUGAUAUGAUUAACUUCAUUUUACAUAUACAAAGCAGUGUUUAAGAGGUUUAAGCAUAGGUCAAGCAAGAGUGAUGGAAUCACCAACCAGAACAGUGUCAGGGUCUCCUUGUUGUCCUGUUUCCUGCCAUAAGCUCUCUGUGUGACUCUGUCACUUGUAGCCCAUUUUUUCCUUACAACUUACUUGGGCUAAAAGCCAUUUUCAGGCUUUAGUUCAGAUUAUGAAGCAGCCAAUUUUGAGUUUCUUGUAAAUCACAAGGUAGGCAGAGUAUAGUCAUUAAUCUAAGAAGGCAAAAUUAGUAAUACAGAACUUUGAAAUUUCUUGGCCAAACUCAGCAUUGUAGUAAGUAAUAAAUAAUUUCUUUGGUGAUAGUAUUGCCUCUACUUAGUAUGAGUAUCGUUCUUUAGAGCUGAAUAUGGGCUUGAGUCUGUUUCAGGCUGAGCUUCUCUGUCACUACCAACUUACUUACCCCCUUAAAAUGCAACAGAAAAUUUUGGAUUGGUCUAAAUGGAGUGUUGAAUAGGAAUGCCAGGAGAGGGAGCACCAGGAGGAGCAAAUGGUAGGAGAAGGGUACAAGAAUGGCAUUUGGUGAUGGCAUCUGGACUAGCAGGUUGCCAGGAUUGCAGCAUGCAUCUGCCUGCGUGGGGCCUGUCCACCUGUGAGAGCCAGAGGAACGUCUUUCCAGAAUCACCACUGUCAGCUCCUACAACAGCUGAAAGGCCGCACAUGGAAGAAUUGAGACCUGAGGAUGAACAUCACUCGGCCUUCAGCUCAUCCUGACGUGAAACAGAGCGAUGGACACAAGCACUUCACCUGAGGGUCCUACCUGAACACUGUGUGGUGCUUCAAGCAUGCAUGAUUCUAUGCUUAAAACCAGCUGCGUUCUACUUUUUUUUUUUACCUCCUCAGGUGUGAGGUGCAGGUGUGCUGUGCUGUUGCUGUAGUGUUGUUCUGUCAUUUCCUGUGCAACAGUCUUUUUGCUCAUGUUCAAGACCAAAAGAUAUGAAGGUUUAGGGUUUUGCAGCAGAGGAUGCAUUUCACUAAAGAAAAACAAAGCUCCAAGCCGGGGCCCAGGAUGCUUUUAACACACUGAUUUAACAUCUUUUCUGAACCUCUUACUUUUACAACUUUGCAAACACACUUUAGCUGAAAUUAAUGCACAACCCCGUAAAGGUGAAUGGGUUGUUUCACAUUCAGACAGCGAUUUAGCAUGUUCCAGUUCACACAAUCACCUUGGCCUAGCUGCAGACUGCGGGGCUCGAAAGAGCACGGCGGCACGCCUGGAGGAAAUCCUUCCCCAGGAUGGUUGUUGGAGGCAGCGCCUGCUCCCAGCACCACUCGGGGAAGCCUUAAUGAAAAGCAGCUCAUCAGCAGUUACGUAACCUAAUGAUAAUCCGGCUCAGGCCGGGCAAUACUUAAAGCCACAGCGUCUCUCUGCCAUGACCUAUUUUAUGCUCCAUGCAAGGGCAAAAGUAUGUGGUUUGUAACUUUGCUGGGUCUUUUACCGCGGAGUUAUUGCCUGUCAGUAGGAAAGCCCCCUGCGCACGUUUCUUCUGCUUUCCUGGCUGCAAAGCAGCCGCUUCAGAUUUGUCAGUGGCUUUUUAUGGUAUCGGCUCCAAGCACAGGCACAGUAGAGAGCAAAUUGUAAACAAUUAAAAGGAAAACACUUCAUGUCCUGCAGGAAACUCAGCUUACUUUAAUUUCAGCCUCAGAAGCUGCAAAGGGUCUGGGGAUAUGUUGUGAAGCACUUCUAAUGCCAUAUUGAACAACACAGAAAGCUUUUGUGUUUUUAUUAGACCUCAGAGAAGAAAAAUGUAUGUUUCCAUAUUCCAGGGUCAUAUUUACAUUUGUCUUAAGAAAUUCAUUAGGAUGGCACUGGCAUAACUCACACUAGUACGAGUGGUAGCCUCCUGUAAUCAUUUUUUUUUUUUACCUCUCAAUCUGCAGAAGUAUCAACAAGAGAUUAAACACAGAGAUGUUGCUUCAGAUCUCAGCAUUUAAUCUGACCACAGAUGGUGUCAAAAGAGGGACAGCCAUGCAAAAAAGCAACAGAUUUUUUUCCUAAGCAAUCACUUUUUUGUUUAAUAAAGAUAGAGGACAAGUAGCCAUGUAUAAGAUAUAGAGGAAAAACCUCAGUUUCCUACAGUUCCUCUCCUAGAGAACUUUGAAGCAAUAUUAAUGGCCUGAUUUCUGUUAAUGAUUAAUAAUGCAUUUAUAUUUAUGGGCUUUAAAGUUACUAUUGUUACUAAUUCCUAUCUUUCAUAGGAUAAAUAUUUCAUUCCUUAUAACACUGGGUGAGUUAAUAACAUGGCUGGUUUCAAAAAUAAGGUUAUAAAGUUGUGCUGACUGUAAGAAUACAGCCUGUUUCGUGUAGGUGUACUCAGCGUGGAUGACACUUAUAUUUACAUAACAUAACCUGUUGUUUUCCAAUAGUGAUGCCAAAGCUUCAUAUUUACUGCCACAAGGAAUACCAGGAAUUGCAAAAAUAUGCUACCACUACACUAUCAGAUCAUAUGGAUCUGCUGAUCUCUUACAGGUUGAAAAAGUUGUUAAAGCUAAUUCAGAGCAUUUUCUUAAAGCUGAUUUUUAUUGCCCGACAUGAGACAGCUUAAGGUCAGAAAUCUGAUUACUUUCAAAAAUAUUUACAAAACUUAAUAUUUGUCCUGCUUUUGGCUGGGAUAGAGUUAAUUUUCUUCUUAGUAGGUGGUACAGUGCUUACUUUAUUUCAAUUAUUAAACUGUUCUUAUCUCAAACCAGGAGUUUUACCUCCCCCCCCCCCCCCCCCCCGAUUCUCCUCCCCAUCCCACUGGGGGUGGGAUGUGAGUGAGCAGCUGUGUGGUACUUAGUUGUGUGCUGGGUUAAACCACACCAGUGUUGGUAGAAAUAUUUAAUGACAUUUAAAAGGAAUAAUAUUAACCAAAACCAAAUUGUUGUGAUCACGUUUGUUGGCUUUCGAAAUGUCUUCCUGAGCCUGCAACCAAAACACUGCCACAUUGUACUAGCAUUUAAGAAAGUGGAACUAAAUGUAGAUUAUUAAAAUAACAUUGCUGAUUAUAAACUCCAAAGAGAAAUCAUGUAACCUCAUUUUGUUACUUCAUCUGAGUGAAAGGCUAAAAAAAAGGGGGGGGUAGAAAAUACAAUUUAGUCAUCUCAGGUAUUACUAAUCACAGAAGUAAAAUGUAUAUUAAAUGCAUUUAACCAUGCUUCAGAGCUCUUUAAAGUGGACUCAUUAAAUCAGAUGUGAAGGAGUUGCUUCUAGAUGAUGAAGGGGUAAGGGUUAAC